UUCAGGGGUUCAAAAUACAUCAGAAUCAGUACAAACAGUACAUGUGGGCUACAAGAGCAUAAACAAAUGAUUAUAUAGACAUGCAGCAAAAGCUGAUGAAAUGUUCAUGUUUUUAAAUGUGA